ensembl:misc_RNA Metazoa_SRP Metazoan signal recognition particle RNA
GCUGGGUGUGGUGGCACGUGCCUGUAGUCCCAGCUACUCAGGAGGCUGGCUGGAGGAUGCUUGAGCCCAGGAGUUCUGGUCUGUAGUGUACUAUGCCGAUCAAGUGUCCACACUAAGUUUGGCAUCAAUAUGCUGACCCCCCGGGAGCAGGGGACCACCAGGUUGCCUAAGGAGGGGUGAACUGACCCAGGUCGAACACGGAGUAGGUCAAAACUCCCGUGCUGAUCAGCAGUGGGAUCAAACCUGUGAACAGCCACUGCACUCCCGCCUGGGCAACAUAGCAGGACCUCAUCUCAC